CUGGCGGCGUGCCUAACACAUGCAAGUCGAACGAGAAAGUGGAGCAAUCCAUGAGUAAAGUGGCGACCGGGUGAGUAACACGUGACUAACCUACCUCCGAGUGGGGAAUAACUCCGGGAAACCGGGGCUAAUACCGCAUAACAUCGCAAGAUCAAAGCAGCAAUGCGCUUGGAGAGGGGGUCGCGGCUGAUUAGCUCGUUGGCGGGGUAACGGCCCACCAAGGCGAAGAUCGGUAUCCGGCCUGAGAGGGCGCACGGACACACUGGAACUGAAACACGGUCCAGACUCCUACGGGAGGCAGCAGUGGGGAAUUUUGCGCAAUGGGGGAAACCCUGACGCAGCAACGCCGCGUGGAGGAUGAAGCCCUUUGGGGCGUAAACUCCUUUCGACUCGGACGAUAAUGACGGUACGAGUGGAAGAAGCACCGGCUAACUCUGUGCCAGCAGCCGCGGUAAUACAGAGGGUGCGAGCGUNGUUCGGAAUUAUUGGGCGUAAAGGGCGCG
rnacentral:rRNA from 1 species